CGAAGGGCCCGGCAGCAGAUAAGGUGGCGAAGGGCCCGGCACCACUCUUUCACUGCCAUACCGGGGACCAGCGCCACAAGCAGCACCCCUGGACCAAUUCCUCCGCCGCCGGCAUUUGCGGACCCGCCUCGUCCUGAUCAACUCCGGCGAUUGGUCCUUAUACUGAGGGCGGUAGUCCAACAAAUGUUUGUUUAUAUUUUACGUUG